rnacentral:rRNA from 1 species
GUCGAGAAUAAUUCACAAUGGACGAAAGUCUGAUGGUGCAACGCCGCGUGGAGGAUGACGGUCUUCGGAUUGUAAACUCCUGUCAUCCGGGAGUAAGACCUGGCUGUGAAUAGCAGACAGGGUUGAUAGUACCGGAAGAGGAAGGGACGGCUAACUUCGUGCCAGCAGCCGCGGUAAUACGAAGGUCCCGAGCGUUGUUCGGAAUCACUGGGCGUAAAGGGAGCGUAGGCGGCGUGGUAAGUCAGAUGUGAAAGCCCGGGGCUCAACCCCGGAACUGCAUCCGAUACUGCCGUGCUAGAGGAUUGGAGAGGUAGCUGGAAUUCUUGGUGUAGCAGUGAAAUGCGUGGAGAUCAAGAGGAACACUCGUGGCGAAAGCGAGCUACUGGACAAUAUCUGACGCUGAGGCUCGAAGGCCAGGGUAGCGAAAGGGAUUAGAAACCCCGGUAGUCC